GGCACUGAAGAGGUUAGAUCUCUCUGGUACUUGGGCACUUGAAAAGAUGCCUCAAGGCAUGGAAUGUCUAUGCAACCUGAGGUAUCUUAGAAUGAAUGGAUGUGGUGAAAAGGAGUUUCCUAGUGGGUUGUUACCUAAGCUCUCUCACCUGCAAGUCUUUGUAUUGGAGGAUUGGAUUCCUUUUGGUACCAAAGAUAAUAGAAGAGAACAACCUGUUCUGAUAACAGUUAAUGGUAAGGAAGUGGGAUGCUUGAGGAAGUUGGAAAGUUUGGAAUGCCAUUUUGAAGGUUACUCAGACUACGUGGAGUAUCUCAACUCUCGGGAUGAAACCAAAUCACUAAGCAGAUACAAAAUUCGCGUAGGACUACUACUGUAUACGUCUUCUUAUGGUUGUUAUAAUGGAUGCAGAAGGAAAACAAUUGUUUGGGGUAACUUGAGUAUCGACAGAGAUGGAGAUUUUCAGGUCAUGUUCCCAAAGGACAUUCAACAACUGACCAUUCAUAAUAAUGAUGAUGCAACAAGUUUAUGCGAUUUUUGGUCUCUAAUAAAGAAUGCAACUGAACUGGAGGCUAUCAAGAUUAGUGAUUGCAGUAGCAUGGAGAGCUUGUUUUCAUCUUCUUGGUUCUGCUCUGCUCCACCACUGGAGAGCCUGGUUUCAUCUUCUUGGUUCUGCUCUGCUCCACCACCAUCUCCAUCUUAUAGUGGAAUAUUUUUUGGUCUUAAAGAGUUUAGUUGUUAUGAAUGUAAGAGCAUGAAGAAGUUGUUCCCUCUUGUCUUGCUGCCAAGCCUCGUAAACCUGGAACGCAUUAUAGUUGGUAUCUGUGAGAAAAUGGAGGAGAUAAUAAGUGGAACAAGAUCAGAUGAAGAAGGGGUUAUGGGUGAAGAAAGCAGCACCGAUCUCAAACUCCCCAAGUUAAGAUCUCUGCAAUUGACGGGAUUACCAGAACUGAAAAGCAUUUGCAGUGCAAAACUGAUUUGCGAUUCUCUCGAAUACAUUCAAGUAAGGAAUUGUGAGAAGCUGAGGACGAUGGGAAUUUGUCUUCCGUUGCUUGAUAAUGGCGAGCCAUCUCCUCCCCCUUCUCUCAGAGAAAUCGAUGCAACGCGAAAAUGGUGGGAGUCAGUAGUGGAGUGGGAGCAUCCUAACGCGAAGGAUGUCCUUCGUCCCUUUGUAAGUUUUGAGGUAUGAUAUGAGUCUGCCCUUAAUAUAAUAUAAUAAAAUAUUGAAUUAAGUUCAGGUGCUUACUGGUUUUAUACUUUGAUUAUAUAAAUAUAAUAAAAUAUCGAAUUAAGUUUAGGUGUUUGGAAAUGGUUAUGCAGGCUACGGAGCUACUUCGGAAAUUGGCUCAGGCUCAGGCUCUGCAGGCUCAGUUGAAGAAGAAGAUUAAUAAAGUAUCGAAUUAAUUUUGCUGCUGCUACUUCCGUUUCGAGGAUCAAAUGGCAUUUGUCUCAAGUCAGGGGGCGUGGUGUUACAAUUUGUAGUAAAGUGCCUGAAGACGUUCAAGAAGCAGCUUUACAAGUCCUUUUUUAUAUGAAGCUGUGUGUGUAGGUUAGCAAAAUUACUACCAAAUCCUUUUUUAUAUGAAGGUUGUUGGUGUUUUUAGAAGGGUGAAAUAAUUAUUUUAUUGUUAUAAUCUACAAUAAAUUGUGUCUUUGUAUACAUUAUGAGCUUUUUUUUUUUUUUUUUUUUUGUAAUUCUGUUAAUUGUGUCUUGGUGUACUUUAGGCUCAAAAUUAGGUGUGAAUCAAAUGAAUCAUCAUAUUUUGAAAGUCACCGUGGAGCCCCUUCCCUAUUUUCUUUAUUAAAUGUUUUUUCUUUCUUUUGUUAGACGUGAUUUCGAAACAAUUCAUUAGACAAUUACUACUAAUUAGUCCUUUUUUUUUUUCCAUUGUGAUUACAACAAAAUUUUAGUAGAGUUUUGUAUGUAUUUACAAUAUUUCAAGCUAUUAUAGUUCAAAAUAAAUAUAAUCCAAUCUAAAUUCUAACAAUUCAAUGCAGAACAUUUGUUAAUACCUUUACCCGUGGAUUCAUACUUAUAUAUAUAUAUAUAUAUAUAUAUAUAUAUAUAGAAUUGCAUUCAUUAGACAAUUACUACCAAGACCCUCUUUUUGGUUGUGACAUUAUAUAUAUAGAACUCAUUCCCAGGAUGAAUAAAAUUUCAAAGUUUGAUAAUGAGCUAAAAAAUAAUACAUUAUCUUUUCCUUGCAUUACUUGUAAUCAGUCCAAAAAACUCAAAUUACAACCCUAAAGCGUAAAGCAUGGUGGUAAUUGGGCUGAGAGAGCGGUGCCUAAGAGUCAGUAGUGGAGUGGGAGCAUCCUAACGCCUUCGUUUCUUUGUACUUUUUAAAUAGAGGAUGAGUGACGCAGUGCUCUUAAUAUAAUAUUAAAUUAAGAGUAAGCAUUGUGGUUUUAAUUGGAUUAAGCUUAAGCUAUGUGUCAACAAUCUUAUGAAUAGUAAUUGUGUUUCAAUCUUAUUAAAUUACCAACCAUUUUAUCCACUUCUUUUAAUUUAAUCCUUUUUUUUUCAAUCUUAUAUGGGCUCAUUAAAUUUAAAGUAAUUGUGUUUUAAUUCAGUGAGUCUACAUUAAAAUGCAAGCGCAUGAAUAGUGUUUUGGUUCUGCCACAAGCGUAUUGAAUUUCCUAUAAUAAUUAGAAUAUAAUAUAUAGUUUUAACCCGCAUUUUACCACUUAAGUAAACACCAUUUAACAAUAAUAUAAACUAUUUGCAAUUAAUAAAAGGGACUGGGUCCAUUUGGUCCCAGGAAAGAGCCCCAAUAAGAAAACAAUAAAAGCCCAGGCCCAUAAACAUUUGACCCAGGGAAGAUCUACAGUGACACAGUGGUUGAUAAACAACCACAUUAUUAACACAGUUGAAAGUUACGGUAAUUCGUAUGCCAUAGCCAUUAUAACAAUCAAUGAAUAUAGCAUGUCACCGAAGCAAAAAUCCUUUUCUUUUUAAUGAAUUUUGACCAUUUUUAUGCCCGAGGUUGAUUUAAAAAAAAAAAUAUCAGUGAUCUGAUAUUUGGUAUUAUGAUGUUGAUAAAGUAUUUUUUAUAUAUUAAAAUAAUAUAUUAUUUAUUUUUAAAAUUUAUUUUUAUAUAUUAAUACGAUCUAAAAAAUAUAAUAAAAAUUAAUUUUAAAAAAUUGAUUUUUUUACAAAAAUCGCCAAACAUGCUAUUUUGUGAAGCAAGUUUGAGUUCGUACUUAGAGGUUUCUUUUUCUCUAUCCUUUCUCUACACACACUUAACUUCUAAACAAUGCAUUUGAAAAACUUAAAAAUCAGAGAAUAUUAACCUUCAGAUGAUUAAUUAAAUGUAAACUUAAAUACGAGCUGAAAUUCCAUGAUCUUCCCAUUUUCUCUGAUUAAUUUUAUCAGUGGCAAAAAGGGUGCAUGAAGUCCCCAUAAUUACAGCUUAAUGCACGUGAAGCUGGUCCCCGUAGCCUCUCUCUUUUCUCUGAUAUUACUCAAUAUUAUGCUUAAUGUCAUCUCUCUUCAGUGUUUUCUCCUCAAUGCAUUGACAGGAAAGGUGCCUGCAGAACUUGCCAAGUUGGUCAACCUGACAGAUAUGUAAGCAGACACUUUUUCUUUUUUUGUGCGUCUCUUAAUUGAAUCACAGGUCUACGAACCAAAAAACGAUAAAAAAAAAACAGAUAUGCAAUCAGCCUCUCUUACCACAGGAAAUGUUGCUGAUUUUGAUGCCAAAAAGUCUCACAUAUUAACUCUUAACAUGCCCGGAUUGUUUCGAUCUUUCAAUCUUCAAUGCUGAUAAUUCAACCAUGCACAUGGAUCAAAUUCAGUGGAAAUAAUGUUAUUGCAAUUCUUCAAAUAUUGUUUUUCACGUGUAUGUUCUUCAUCUUUUUAUCAAAAUUUUAUGCUCAACAAUAAUACUUUCAGUAAACUCUUGAGUUUGUAUUUCUUUGACACCUUUUAGGAGGAUGAAUGAUGAUAAUUUAUCAGGGAAAUUACCUGCUUUUUUCAGUAAGUGAACACAGGUUCAGAAUAUCUGUACCUUCUAGCAUUGUUUCCUUGACCAGACUAAGGAAGUGAUUAGUAACCAAACAGAAUAUCUGAAUUCUGUUUUUAUGUACAUGUAAUAUGCUUAUGAUACCAUGCUUUUAUGCUCUAUGAUACUUGAAGGAGGAUCAGUGACUUAACAGGAAGAGGGUCUUAUUACCCACCACUGAGUAAUAUGGAAUCCAUAAAACAUUGUGAGUUGGAGUUCUUCUAAUCUUAUGUCCUUUUCAGCUAAUGCUCUUGACCUUUGAUUUGUACAAUGAUUUUAAAAAUGCAGGGUUUUGAGGAACUGCUUAAUAUUUGGAUAGGCCCCAGACUAUGUUGGGGAGCUGGAAAAACUGAAAUGUUUGUAAGUGGUUCCAUCCAGAGGCUCCCUAAUGAUUCCCUUUCAAAGCAAUCAUUGUCAAUAUGAUUAUCAUUUGCUUUCUUAAGAAAUGUUCUUGAGAGUUUCCAUGAUGUUUUGUGUACCACUAAACAUUAUGAGAUGAAAUUCUGUGAAAUGGCUUGUUCUCAAGGACUCCAAUUACUCUUCAAUGGCCUUGGAAAGGGCCAGAUAGGCUCUCUCUCACAGGCUCAUCAUUGUCUUACAGCGCAAUCAUACAAGAUUUUCUGUUUGAAUCAAUUUUAUCUUAGAAAACGAUUUGAUUGUCUUUAAGCUUUCAGUUGAAAGUGCAAUUAAGAGCUACGGAAAACCCCUUUUAAUUUGUCGACGUACUUGACAGGAAACAAGUUCACUAGAUCUGUUCCUCAAUGGCUUCUGAAAAGAAACAAGAAUGUGCAUGUCGAUUUCCGCCAGAUUUAUUUUCAACUUGGAGUUCUGCUGCAACCCAAAGAAUUCCUGUUUCAAAUGUGCAAGAGGUCAAAUGUUCUCCAUAAAAUUGCUUAGGUUUUAUAUGUAGAACAGAAAACAAAGAAAACAGAGCAAAUUAUUAAUUCUUAGCCAUGAGUUUGAGGAUGGAACUUUUCAUUGUUGAAGGAAACCAAUUAAAGCUUGUGUACAAUUGCCUGUCCCGUGCUCUAUUUGUUGAGUUUAUUUCUUCCAUUCAUCAGAAGCAUUUCUUUUUGAGUUAUUGCUUUGGAAAUUGUCAGUAAGAGCAACACAAACUACAGGCCAAAGGAGGAGUUUGUUUACUGUUGGGUUGGUUGUCAUUAAUGUGCAACAACCAUUGACAAUUGCAGCAGCUGCAGCUGGAGUUGCACCAACCAUGUGCACUCAUCCAAGAUGUCAAAGGUUGGCAGCCACCAUUGUUGAAGAAGAGCUGGAGGAGCUGCCAUGGAUGCCUAUAAAUAGAGGCAUACAUUAGAGAGCAAGAUGAGAGAGUUAAGAGAGAGUGUGUAGAGCCAAAGAUGUGAGAAAUGUAGGAGAGAAUGGGCUGCCAAGGCAGCCAGCAGUAGCUGUCAUUGCAGCACUAAGAAGAGAGAAAUAGAGUGAGGUUGAGAGUUGCCAAAGAGGGGAUGAUUCCUCCUUCUCUAUUGUUGUAAAUCUUGUACUCUCCCUAUAUAAUGUAAUGGCUUCUCCCGUGGAUGUAGGCGGUUUGCCGAACCACGUUAAAUAUUGUGUCUGUGUGCUUAGCCUCCAAUGGGCAAAUAUCAGAACAUCACCGGUCGGAAUUCCCUACAAUUGCCUGAUGAACGGCACAAAGGAACAGUUGAGUUCCGUAUGUUCAAGGAUCUGAUGGAGUGGUGAUUUCUCCAAAGAAGUUAGAUUCGGUGACUGUAAUUUCUCGAAGGGAGAAUUAAUGAAGACCCUGAUAAUGGAAGAGAAAUACAGCAAGGGGAUAAAGAUUGGCACCCUAUUUUGACUUGGAUAAAUGUUGUGACAGGAUGAGCUGCUGUCAAACAUAAAAGCAAAGAAUAGGGAGAAAUCUGGAGAACCGAAAUUGCACGAGAGCACACGGAGAUUGUGCAGGAGUACCCGAAGGAUCCAACGAGGUACUGUAAUGAGACGAUAGGUGCAAGGAGAAGAAGAGUUCCCAGAUGAAGCUCAGAGAUUAUAGUUGAAGAGAUUAUAGUUGAAGACUGUGAGAAGAUGGAGGAGAUAAUAGGUGGAACAAGACCAGAUGAAGAGGGGGUUAUGGGUGAAGAAACCAGCAGCAGCAAUAUCGAAUUCAAACUGCCAAAGUUAAGAAAUAUGAAAUUGAGACGAUUACCAGAACUGAAAAGCAUUUGUAGUGCAAAAUUGAUUUGCGAUUCUAUCGAAGUAAUUGAAGUAGAAAAUUGCGAGAAGAUAGAGGAGAUAAUAAGUGGAACAAGAUCAGAUGAAGAAGGGGUUAAGGGUGAAGAAAGCAGUAGCAGCGAAUUCAAACUCCCAAAGUUGAAAUUGUUGGUAUUGACGGGAUUACCAGGACUGAAAAGCAUUUGUAGUGCAAAAUUGAUUUGCGAUUCUAUCGAAAGAAUUGAAGUAAGAAAUUGCGAGAAGAUAGAGGAGAUAAUAAGUGGAACAAGAUCAGAUGAAGAAGGGGUUAUGGGUGAAGAAAGCAGUAGCAGCGAAUUCAAACUCCCAAAGUUGAAAUUGUUGGUAUUGACGGGAUUACCAGAACUGAAAAGCAUUUGUAGUGCAAAACUGAUUUGCGAUUCUCUCGAAGUAAUUGGAGUAAGAAAAUGUGAGAAGCUGAGGAGGUUGCCAAUUUGUCUUCCGUUGCUUGAAAAUGGCCAGCCAUCUCCUCCCCCUUCUCUUAAAUACAUCAAGGUAGAUUCAGAAGAAUGGUGGGAGUCAGUAGUGGAGUGGGAGCAUCCUAACGCUAAGGAUGUCCUUCGUCCCUUUGUAAGGUUUUAGAUUUUAAAUUAAGAGUAAGCAUUGUUGUUUUAAUUGGAUUAAGCUUAAGCUAUGUGUCUACUUAAUGACUGAUUUGUUUAUUAUAUGAAUAGGUUUGUCAUCCGUCCCUUUAUGGAGUUUUCAUUCGUAAGCAUUCAUGUGAAACUCUUGUAAUUAAAAGUAGCUCGCUCAUAUUAAAAUCAAAUUUGUAGUCAAUCAAGACUUUUUUUUUUCUUCUCUAUCAAAAUCUGACCACUCUUUUUCCUCUCUGGAAUUAGAAAUCUAAAACUAAAAAAAAUAAAGUUUUAGACUAAAAUUGUAUUUUCAAAAAUUUAAGGGAUUGAAUAUUUAUAACUUGAAAAGCAUGAGGACCAAAAUGAACUUUUCAUGCUAAUCUUUAAAUUACCACCCAUUUUAUCCACUUCUUUUAAUUUGAUUCUUUUUCUUUCAAUCUUAUAUGGGCUCAACAAAUUUAAAGUAAUUGUGUUUAAAUUUAGUGAGUACAUUUCCUAUAACAGUGGAAGCGCAUGUAUAGUGUUUUGGUUCUGCUUUGUAUAUGCGACGACGCAUUGAAUUUACUAUAAUAAUUAGAGUCAUUGCAAUUUGCAAGCAACUUUAUGUUUUUUUGAUCUAAAGGAAUAGACUGAACCAUAUUCACCUAUUCCUCAGAAAAAAAUGUGUCGAAUUGUCAAGAACACCAGAAUGUUCUUCUGCCUUUGGUGUCGUCUGCACUUGAUGAAUUGAAAUACCAAAUGACUUGAUGAAUUGAAAUACCAAAUGCAUAAAGAAUGAGAAAUUUUACGAUUUUACAAUCUAUUUUUACAAUUUAAAUUUAUAUUAUAUUUUUCAUAUCAUACAAAAAAUAUAUUUUUAACAACUUUGAUUACGUUCAAAAGAGGACGCCGUCAUCUUCUCAAUGGUAUUACACAUGCCUACGACAAAUGUGUGGUUUGGCCUCUACCGCAUCUUUUAUCUUCUCCUCCUUAUUUUGUCUAUCUUCUCAUUACAAAAAUGAAAAAUUGUACUUUUAUUUGGUUUUUGUAUUUAAUUUAUUUUUUAUAUUUUUAAUUGCUAUAUAUUUUAUUUUAUUUUAAAAAAAUUUUCUUCAAUUUCAUAUCUAUCAUUCUUUUAAUUGCUAUUUUUUAAUUAUUUUUCUAAUUAAAUUUGGUUUUCAAUUUAAUUUUUUGGCAUUUGAUUUCAAAAUAUUUUUAUAUCAAAUUUAGUCAUUAUUCUUUUUAUUAUUAUUAUUUUGUUUUGAAGCCUUUUAUUUUGUAUUUUUUUUCAAAUUCAUCCCUCAUUAUUUUGUUGAUUUAUAAUUUUGUUUUUUUAUUUUUUAGAGUUUGUCUUCUAUGUGGUUGGUCCCUAGCUCGUGAGCUUUUUUUAUUGUAUUUUUUUAAAAAUUUAUCUCUCACUAUUUUGUUGAAUCUGAUCUAGAUCUUAGGCUUAUUUUUUUAAAAUUGAAUUUUUUUUCUCUUUCAUCUUUAUAUAUUUUUAAUUUAUUAGAGGUUAGUUUUCAUACCUUUAUUUUCAACUUUUUUUUAUGUCUAAUUAUCUUAAUUUUAUGCUCAUGAUUAUGAAUUUAAUAUGUUGACAGUAGCGAAAUAGAUGAAAAAGAUUUAACUUAGAAUGUGAAAAAUCUUAAAUAUUACGGUGCAAUAAUAUUGUACUAUCAAACAAGUGAAAUGAGACUAUUCAACACUUCAAGAGCAUCAAACAUCAAGGAAGAUCGGUGUAGUCUUAACUAAAAUAAACUUUUUAGAUAAUUGACAAAAAUUAAUAUUUUUUAUAGCGUAGAUGGGAGAUGCAUGUUUGGCCAUUGCAAGUUGUUCUGUAGCAAAAACUCUAGUGAGAAAUUUAUGAAAAAUGAAAAAAAAAGUGCAAAAAGUUAUUCUAAAUUAAUACAUACAAUGCGUAUGUGGAAUUUUCGUAGCUAGUAUAGGUGAGGGGUAGUAUUAAAAAUAAUUUUUUAAAAAUUAAAAUAUUAUUAUUGGAUAUUUAGUUUUUUUCCAUUCUGGGGUCAUUUUUUAUUUGUAAUUCAUAUGAAUUAUUGGUUAUUUAGUGAUUUGGGAUAACCUAAUCAGGUCGUGUAAAGAAUAAAUUACAUCGCGGCUUGAAACGUAGAAGAAAGGUCAAGCAAUAUCCUUCUGGGAUUCUUCUCAUUUCCAUCGCGGCUUGAAAUAGAGAGCCCAAAUAAGCAAGGGUAGUCUUGGAAUGGUCGACAUAUCAUUUUAUGGCGGAGGUGGAAAAUGCAUGUUAAUUAGGCCUUUGCAAGAAUGUUCUCUAGCGACAAAUUUACGAAAAAUGUAAAAAUAAAAAAUAAAAAAGUUGCAAGAACUUAUUCCAAAUACAUCCAAUACAAUGUAUUUGUUUUUGCGGUUAGAUGAUUUUAAAAAAAAAAAUUUCUUUAGAUUGAUUUUUUAAAUGUUUUUAUAUUAUUUUGAUAUUUUAAUUCUAAAAUAAACUUUCAAAUAUACAAAAAAAAAAUUAUUUUAAAAUACAACAUCAGCACGUAUCAUGGAUAAUUUACAGUAGUGGUUCGUGGAAGUUGCCGCGCGAUAACUACCGUCGAUCAACUAGUAUUAGGUGAGGGGCCCUCACGCAACUUUCUCUGCUUAAUGUUCAAUGUAUCUCAUCAGUCCAAAACAUACCUCAUUUCACAGCAUACAUCCGGACACAUGAACAUGUCGUCGGUUUAGCGAUCCAUGAAAUGUUGUCAGUAUGAUCAAUAAAUAAAUCCUGGAGUUAAUGAAUUUUUUUAUUUUUUUUUAAUUUUAUCUCUAUUAUUUUUUUAAUUGUUAUUUUUUAUUUUAAUUAAAUUUUGUUUUUAAUUUAAUCCCUUAAUAUUUAAUUUCAAAAUAUUUUUAUACCAAAUUUAAUCCUUAUUCUUUAUAUUACUAUUUAUUUUGGAGCCUUUUUUAUUUUAUUUUUUUUAUUUCAUCCUUAAACAUUUGAUUUAUUGGAAAUUAAUUUUUAAUUUUUUAUUUGAACUUUUCUUUAUGUUUAAUUAUUUCAAAUCAUAUGCUUAUAUAGUUGCAUAGGAUUGAGAUAACUGCAACAUUUGUGAAUUUGAACAGGUAUUGGAGGAGAAUCUUGACUGGAAGGAUGUGCAAUGGUCACAAACUGGUGUUUGGAUAGCUGGAAAGGAAUUCACGCAUGCUAGGGUGCGCUUUCUAUCUCCAAGUUAGCUAUGGCUUCCUGUGUAUCUUCUACAAAUGGUUGUGCAAAAAUGUGAUGCAUGCAGGAAUAAUAUUAUUUGGUUUUUAAUGGUUUUAUUUCUAAAAUAAAUCAAAGAAUUGAAGUUAAUUGGGUAGUCUUGGAAUGGUCGACAUAUAAUUUUAUGGCGGAGGUGGAAAAUGCAUGUUAGGCCUUAAUUUGCAAGAUGUUCUCUGGAUACAAUGAGUUGCUAGGGAAGAUUACGUUCAAUGUAUCUCAUCAGUCCAAAACACACUUCAUUUCACAGUAUCCUUUUCAUGGAUAUAUACAAUGAGUUGCUAGGGAAGAUUACGUUGUUCACUGGUAAUUUUUUUCCCAUUUCACUAAUAUAAAACGAGAGCCUUGAAGAAGUGGUUGACGUAAAUUUUCCUUGUUUUUAUUGGAUUUUUUUUUGUGUUAUUUUCAAUUUUAAGUCAAUUAAUUUUCUUUUAUUUUUAGGAUUUUGAUCCCAUAGUCUAUUUAAAAUACAUAUGAGUUUCUCAUAUGUGAUCUUACCAAAUCGAACCCACCAACCACACCUCAUAAACAGAUGAGUUUCUCACCAAACUUGACACUUUCAUGCAUCAAUGCUUUGGUGUCUUAAUUCUCUUUUGAUCUUCGUUGUUGAAGUUUUCCCCUCUUCAUUUUUGUGCAGACAUGAAGAUGUGAAUCACUAUGAGUUGAAGGCACCACAUCCAAAAAUGGCUCACCCUUGGCCAGACCACUUCCCACUGCAAGUAGCCAUGGGUGCAGCGGGUGACGAUGCUGAAGCCAAAUUAGUGCGCAGAAGUUGGACUAAUGGUACCCUUAAUUUCUUAUGCUUCCUACCAGUUCACAGCCCCUAAAUAAAAUCUUCAUCAACAUUACAAGUGCUCCUGGAAUUCUUGUAGGCUGACAUUAUUAGCUAUAAAAUGAUAAUCUUGUGGAUGAUCAUGUGAAAUUACCCUAAACUGAAAAGAAAAAAAAGUCAUUCAAAGUAAUUACAACAAAUUCUAAAUUUUUAACAAAUUUGUUAUAUAUCGAGAUGAUUUCUUAUCUUUAAUAAAUAGAUCCAUUUUAAUAAUGCAUUGCAGUUAAUUUAUCCCUAAUUUCACAAAUCAACUCGUAAAUACUUGUUGCAUAGAUAGUUCACAUAUCUAUGUGAUUUUAUUUACAAUGUGAUUUUAUUGGGUCCCUAAUAUUUGAAACAAAUGAAAAUUUCACAAAUCAAUUGGGUCCCUAAUAUUUGAAACAAAUGAAAAUUUACAAUGAAGAAUUUAUAUGUGAUUUUAUUUUUAGGAAUUUUUUUUGUUAAAGAUAUUUUUUUUCCCCACUAGAUUCAAGAUUUGUUUUGAAAGAUGGUUAUUUGUAUACGGUGAAAAAGUCUGAUUUAAGAAUCUGAAUCUCCCUAUGACGGAUUAGAAUUGCAUAACAAUCGCCUUAUUACAUAUUUUCUUGGUAAAUAUAUUUAGAAAAAUCAUUAUUAGUUGUAAUAUUGGGAAAGAAUUAUAUUGAACUAAUUUACAUUUAUUUAUUUAUUGUAUUCAAAAAUUAAAAAAAAUAUAUAUGUCACAGCAAUUCUAGAAACCAGGCACCCGAGAAACCCCGCAUCCUCGAAGAGGAAGAAGGCGGUGUCGUUUUCUUUGCCCCCUCUCUCUUCCGCCUCCUCCUCUUCCUUCAGGUUUGGAUAUGCAAGUAUUGGGAGUAAAAGGCAGAGAUUGAUUUUUAAGCUGAUGGGAAUACAUUCACCUGAUGGAAAAUUCUAAGGAUGCAUUGGAGUCAGGACUUUUAAUUGCCAGUAUUAUCCAAGGAUGACUACAUACUGCAUGCUUCUAAAACAAAUGAAAAAUACCAAGUUAUUAAACAUAAGCUAUCUUCAACUACCAGAUCUCCUGGCUUUAAUUAAAAAAAAAAAAAAAAGUAAUAAUCCCAACAAUAUGGAAAUCACUGUUGUCACUUCCCUUUCUAUUAUGAAAAUUUAAUUUAUAAUUGGUUUGAGUUUCGAAUAGAAAGAUUUGCCAAAGGAAAGGUUUUAAAUUCUGCCUUCCAUGGACUCUAGCCUCAGCAUUCCGACUCAUACUAUCUGUUAUAAAUUAUGUGUUUGAGUUGCUUGUAAUCUUCAAUGAAUCGAAAUAUUCGAGUUGUGAAUAGUAAGGUUCUAACAACCAAUGGAAUUUCCAUUAGCUUCCCUAAAAAGUUUCAAACCUUUUACAUUGCCUGAAUAAGGGUUUCUUCAUACCGUCUGAUUCUUAUUAGUUUCAUUGCGUGAAUUUAACCAGCCUUUAUCUGAAAGUUUUGGGAGGUUUAGAAUUGAAUGAUAAGGAAGCACAGAUCAUGAGAAAGGUUUAAGAGAUUUGGUGAGGGAAAUUAGGGAAUCAAUAAGAAAUUAGGCUUAGAGGAAGACUAGCUAUUGAAGUCAUUGCAAUUUGCAAGCAACUUCAUGUUUUUUUACUCUAAAGAAAUAAAACAGAGGUGCAAAUCCCUUGUGCUAUCUUUGUCCUGUAUGCAAUGAUUACUCCCAUGGAGACCACCAUGCAAAGUUUUAGUCACUUUCUGCUUUAUUAUUCGACGAGUUCACAUUACACUGCUUUAAGUCCUCGAGUCUAAUGAAUUAAUGAAGAUAGAAACUCCGAAGAAAAUCACUUGGCCAGAAAUAACAUGCUUCAAUACUGGGGUCCGCAGCUAGCAUGGAUAAAACUAUCUCCUUCCUUGUUAGAGAGGGCUCUGACAUUGCUUCCCAUCUGGCACACUGUAACUUGCAGAUCCGUUUGGCUUUUGAGCUGUGGACUCCCCAUCACUUCAACUGAUUUGUUGUUUGUUUGACCACAAGAUGUUGAUUGUCUAGGGAAAUUCCAAGGACGCAUUGGGGUCAGAACUUUUAAUUGCCAGUAUUAUCCAAGGAUGAUUACAUACUGCAUGCUUCUAAGACAAAUAAAAUAUGUAUCAGUUCAUUUAAUGUAUUAGUUCUAAUUAAGUCAUUAAACAUAUUUGCUAGUUCGUGAUCAUUCCAAUUUUCUUGUUGCUGCUGUUAUCCAUUAACUCUCGUAUUUCUUGACUUAUCUGUCAGUAAAAUGAUUAAUGUUUCUUUUAAUUUUUAUGCCUGCAUAACGUAUCAGGAUAAAUACAGCAUUAGUGAUGCGAUCCAAUCAUUAAAGAAUCCAUUGGAGGUUCCUGUUAGUCCAGUUACUAGGUUUAGAGUGAGCUAAGAAGUUGAAAGAAGCUUUUAAUAGACUUCUUAAGGAGACAUGGGCUAAGGUGGACUUCAAGAGGAUUUGUAAUAAUAAAGAGCAAGCCUUGAUUAAUCUGAUUCAUGUUCAAGAGGGGCUUGUUGGUAGAACCAAAACCAUUACACAAAGAUUGAGAGAAGAAGACUAAAUUCGGAGAGUUUAACCUUUUGUUACUCUUUUGGUCAUAACUGGAGCUAUAGAUAUAUUUUUUUAUGUGAUUCAAGUUGUUCUGAAAACUAGACUUCCAUACCUUUCCAACGGUAUAUGGCACGUCUUCUAAUUCAUUAAGACGAGAGAGAACCAUUUGUUUUAAGUUGAACUUUUGCUGCUGCUCCCAUACAAAAUGCGGAAACAACAAAAUUGUCUUAUUUAAUUAGUUGGGCUAUCAAACUUCAUUUAUUUUGAGAGGAGAACAACAAAAUUAUCUUAUUUAAUUAGUUGGGCUAUCAAACUUCAUUUAUUUUGAGAGGAGACAUUUUAUUUAGGUCUUAGACUUGUUUAUUUUAAUUAGUUUGGGCUAGUUUUAACUUGGGUUGAUUAUUAUUUAAAUUAGGCUUAUGUGAGACCCAUUAGGGAAACUAGGGUUUUGGCUUGGAGUUUAAAUAUUUUUUAGGAAUAAUUUUAGGGCAGACUUGUGAUGAUAUUUUUAGCAUUGUAGUUGAUUUUUUGGUUGCUUAAUCUUGGUUCUUAAUUGAACUUUCAACUCUUCAAAGAAUCGACCAUUUUUUGUUGUGAAUUUAUACUUUCUUUGCUCGUCUCCAGGUGUAGGCUUUGUGAUCGAAUUGGUUUAUAUUCUUAUUGCUUUUGAGCAAGUUUUCCAUUGUGAUAAGCUCAUUCAAAUCUCAACAAACUUAGAUUAGAUUGAUUUUGAAGUCGUGAAUUCCAUUAAAUUCCGCUAGGAUUCGUAUCACUUAGUAUUGUUGCCGACAAGAGUUUGAAAAAGCCUCUCUAUACCUCUCCACGUUUGAACAAGGGAGAAGUUCUAUAUUUAGAAACACAUUCAUGCAGGUACUCCCUCUCUUUUUUUUUUUUGUGCUUUCUAAUUUGAAAAAAUAUAUUAAAAAAUAAUAUAAAUCAUAAAAACACUAAAUCUAUAUAAGUUUAUGUACAUCACAAACAGAUUUUGGAGCUUAAAAAAACUCCCUUGUGAAAUAAAUUAAAUAAAUAUGAAGUUUCAGUUUUCUUCAUCGAUCUUAUGUUCUUAUUUUUUGAGAGGGUCCUUGGCUACUAGAAACAAGAAUCACACCCCUAUGGGUUCAGUAGCUUUAUUCAGCCAUGCCAUCUCAGAUUCAUCCAAAUAAGGGGCCAGAAUAUCCCUACAUCUCCCAUGGUAGCUGUUAAGCCAAUUUAUCACUUCAGGACCUAGACUGGUAAAGUCGAUCAUCUUCGUUUGAUACGGUGCCCAAGUUUUGUGCUCGAAAGAUAAGUAGCCCUAUUGUCACCAAAAUUGAAUUUUGUAUCGGCCUCCUUGACGAUAAGCACAUUCUCCAAUCUUAUCCCGAAGUUCCCAUCCUCAUAGUAUCCAGGUUCAUCUGUUACAGUCAUGGAAGCUAAUUACGAGCAUGUGGUCUGAAACUAAUUAAAUGAGGUCCUUCAUGUACAUUUAGGUAUGAUCCAAUACCAUGACCAGUGCCAUGUCGAUAAUCAAGAGUCCAAGACCAUCCUUCCAUAAAGGAAUUAGAACAAGAAUGUCAAGGGCAUGACCGUUAGUUCCGUUGAGAAAACAAGCAUUACCCAAAGCAAUGUGACCCUUGAGAACCUGGUUCGCUGGAGACGAAGUUGAUGAUGGUGUGCUGGCUAGCCAAUGCUACCCCCCUGUUUCUGUUUUUUCUUUGUUUGUUUUAUGGUGUUUUUUGGUUUUUUAUCUAUUGAAUAUAAAUUAUAUCUUAAGAAUUUAUCUAAUAAUUUAAAAUAUUAAAUUAAAAUAAUUCUUUGACAUAUUCAAUCUGAUAUAUACAUUUUGCCUUGAAAAAAAAGGGCAGCACGCGUUUUCUUCAAUUAUGGAUAAGAAAUGAUUUUUUUUUUCUGAGAAGAAAUAAUGAUCCAUUUUAAAGGCCUUCAGAUUUCAACACAUGAAGGGAUGCAUACAUAUCUCAGGAAUUAACAAUGGUGGAGGGAUAGCUUUUAAAUGCCACUGAUUUCUUGAUCACAAAACGCACCGUACUAAGCUGUCGUUAAGCCGCUACUUAUGCGCACCGUUUCAAUAAAUUGUAAUUCUCAUUACUGGGAAGGUUGUCAAGUCAGCACCGUCUUCUGCUCUGCCUAAAUAUACCGGCAGUUGUAACAGAAUGGGCAUGCAAAAAAUGAAUGAGAACUGCUGUGGAUUCCCUCUCUUCUCCCCGUCUUUCUCUCUCUCCUUCUCUGUCUUCUCAAUCUUUCUGGUUCAACACAUAUUGGAGGAUUCUUAAUCGGGUUGUUACCUAUAGAUCCGUGAUCUUAUACCAGCUUUGUGAUGUAUGCAGGGAUAAUAUUGGUCUUUAAAUGGUUUUAUUUCUUAAAUAAAUCAAAGAAUUUAAGUUAAUCUCUUUUCUUUUUUUGUUCAAAAACAAUCUACUAGACUAUUUUAUCCCGAUCUAAUUAUCGAAAAAUUAAAAAAGAACAUACAACCUGUUUAAUAUAUUUAUUUAAAGGUUUGUUCCAUAAUCCUAUAUAUUUUUUAACGAAACUAGUCAUUUUUUUUUCAAAACCCAAAAAUUAAAUGGUUUUCUUGAAAUUUAAUUCAUAAAAAAACAAAUAAUAAGACUGAAUAAUAACUAAUUAAAUAAUUCUCAAUUAUUCAUCAAACCAAUCUAAAAAGACUAAUAUUACAGGUAGGGACCAACUAGAAUUUUAGCAGAUUUUUAGGAGUAAUAUUAAUUAGAGGACCAAACUGAAAAUAUCAUAAAUUCAUAGCUAUACUGGAAGUUUGCCCAUAAAUCAUUCUCUAUUUUGUCUAGAAUCUCUAAUUAUGCUGGAAUUUUUGUUAAAUUUUUAGGGGUCAAUUGUAAUUUUCAAAUUAGAGGGCCAAACUGAAAAUGUCAUAAAUUUAUAAAUAUACUGGAAUCUUGCCCAUAAUUCAUCCUCAACUCUGUCCAGAAUCCCUAAUUAUGCUCCAGGGACCAUUUUAUAAUCUUUCCAAAGUUCAGGGACUAAACUGUAAUUUUCAUAUAUUGAGAGACCAAACUGAAAUUUCAUCAUUUUCAACCUUAAACCUAGAUUUUUUCACAGAUCACCUCCUGAUUCACCAAAAUCUCUAACUCAAAUUCAUCAUUUAAACAGACCAUAACUCAAAAUCAUCAUUUUUAUCUAAAAUCUUUCAAAAUCAACUAAAUAACUCAUUAUUCAAAAUAAUUAACUCAUAAUAUUCAAAUCAAUUCAUCAAUCAACUCAAAACAAAAUCUUCAAAACCCUAAUCUUCAACAAAACAGAAAAUCAAAGCUAAAAAAACACAUUUAUACACAUCAAAAUAUAAAUAUUACAUUUUAAACUUAUUUUUUCUAACUCUCUUCUCUUUUAUUUAUCUUUCCCUCUUUUCUCCUCCUCCUCUUCUUUCCCUUUUCUUUUCUCCUGCCCGUUCUCACUCUCAAAUUUCAAAUCCCUCUUUCUUUUUUCCUUUUAUUUAUUCUUAGUAAGGUUUUAUUCAAUUACCACAAUACCUCUUAUUCAUUUAUAUAUACUGUCACACGUCAGAAAAAUCCGCGCGGCGUCGGCUGGCGAUUUUAUCAUUGUUGUGUUAUUUGAUUUGAUUUGUUGGAGUCGCCACCUAGUAAUUUAUUGAAGGCUACUAGGAAACCGGAUGUACUGGUCUUAUCAGAGAUUCGCGGGUAAGGGACUGGUUGUGGUUAGGGAAGGUAUUAGCACCCCUAACGCACCCUACCUGAGGUAAGCUGCUUCGCAAAUUUGAUGUGUUUAAAGAAGUUUUAAUAAUUGUUUUUUCAUCGGAUAUUAGAAAUACAACUUACGUAUAAGUUAAUAAUUCUUUACCGUGAUCCAAUCAAAAUAUUAAAUUCUUCUUUAAUCUUUGCAAUUUCAUCAUAAAAAAUAUAUAUAUAAAAAAAUACAAACAAAUACAAACACACACAUUCACUCUUCCUAUAUUUUUGUUUCUUUUCUUUUCUUUUCCUUUCUUUUGUUACAUCCAAAUUCACAACAUACAAAUAAAAAUUCAAACUAAACAAAUAUUACAUUAAUCAAUUUAAAAAUUACAAAAUAACCCCUCAAAAAUCCAUAACAGUGCUGGGAAGCCCUUCCGGAACAGCAUGAACAGUGGUGGCGCGUCUUCCCACGCGCCACCGUCACUGGCGGCGCGUGGGUUCUUAUCUUUAAUAAAUAGAUCCAUUUUAAUAAUGCAUUGCAGUUAAUUUAUCCCUAAUUUCACAAAUCAACUCGUAAAUACUUGUUGCAUAGAUAGUUCACAUAUCUAUGUGAUUUUAUUUACAAUGUGAUUUUAUUGGGUCCCUAAUAUUUGAAACAAAUGAAAAUUUCACAAAUCAAUUGGGUCCCUAAUAUUUGAAACAAAUGAAAAUUUACAAUGAAGAAUUUAUAUGUGAUUUUAUUUUUAGGAUUUUUUUUUGUUAAAGAUAUAUAUUUUUUCCCCACUAGAUUCAAGAUUUGUUUCGAAAGAUGGUUAUUUGUAUACGGUGAAAAAGUCUGAUUUAAGAAUCUGAAUCUCCCUAUGACGGAUUAGAAUUGCAUAACAAUCGCCUUAUUACAUAUUUUCUUGGUAAAUAUAUUUAGAAAAAUCAUUAUUAGUUGUAAUAUUGGGAAAGAAUUAUAUUGAACUAAUUUACAUUUAUUUAUUUAUUGUAUUCAAAAAUUAAAAAAAAUAUAUAUGUCACAGCAAUUCUAGAAACCAGGCACCCGAGAAACCCCGCAUCCUCGAAGAGGAAGAAGGCGGUGUCGUUUUCUUUGCCCCCUCUCUCUUCCGCCCCCUCCUCUUCCUUCAGGUUUGGAUAUGCAAGUAUUGGGAGUAAAAGGCAGAGAUUGAUUUUUAAGCUGAUGGGAAUACAUUCACCUGAUGGAAAAUUCUAAGGAUGCAUUUGUAGCAAAUUGUCAACAUUUGCAAUUGUCAACAUGUUUUCUCAACCACUCUCAACUACCCUCUCCACUACCAACCACCCUCUCCUUUACAACCACUAUAUUUAUGCUUCCCCUUCUCAUGUAGACAGAAGUGAGGAACGAGAGAGGAAGAGUGCAGUGUGUGUGCAAGAAGUAAGUGUGCAGAGAAGUGUGGUGAGUGCAACUGUGAGAGAGAGUGCAAGUGCAGAUUUGAGAGAAAAGAGUGUAAGAGUGAAACACUGGUUUUUGUGGGUUGUAUUGGGUUGAGUUGAGUGUUUGUAUUAUUCCUCCAUUAAUAUACAAUCUGCUGCCUCCGUGGACGUACCCGGUUUUGGGGAACCACGUAAAUCUGCUUGUGAUUGUGUUUUAUUUGUGUUUGCUUUCGGUUCAGUAUGCACAACAAAUUGGUAUCAGAGCAUUAGGGAAGCUAGAACACUGAAAAAACACGUUUUUCAGCUCUCUGUUCAAGGUUGCAGAAUUUUCAAAGUUCUCAGAUCUUGAUUUUGACCAGCUGCGGAGAUUCCUCUCUUCCAUACGAGUCCGGCGAUAUAAAGAUCGUCGAAAUCGGAGUUGAAACGAGCCCUGUAGAGCUCGCCGCAGUUUCGCCGGAAAUCUGCCGGAAAAACCAGUCAGUGCAGGAAUUCUCGCCUGAGAAGACAGCCACGUCAUCCGACACGUAGGCGCUGAGUCAUCAUCCACGUCAUCAACAGAAGGGUCCACAUCGCCCUGUCAUCAGCCACGUCAUCCAACGGUGACAGAAUAUUCUCUUGACAGAAUCAGAAUAUUCCGUUAUCAGUAAGAGCAUAUUCCCGUGACAGAAUAUUCUUUAUCAGAGACAGAAUAUUCCUUCCCUGAGUCAACUCGGUCAGAUUGGUUUUUUGGCCAACUCAGUGAUUUUUUGACCCGUUUUUGGCCGAGUCAAGUUGGUUCCUAGCAUUUUCAACCAUUCCGGACGCAACCGUGGUGUCCGUUUUGUUAAAAAGCAUACCGAAGUUACUGUUUAGGCACUUUUGAGCAUAAAAGUGUGUGUUUUAACAAGUUCGGGAUUCCAUUUGUAAUCCAAAGACGUCCUAAUGGCUGAUAUUCCAGAAGAAAAAUCAGCGGGGAAUGCUAGUAUACCUCCACAAUACAUCCCGGUAUCGAGUACCAAAUUUGAGGUGGAGAAGUUUGAUGGGAAAGGUAAUUUUGGCAUGUGGAAAUGUGAAGUCAUGGAUAUGCUUGUCCAAAUGAAUUUGGAUUUCACUCUAGAAGAUAAACCGGAGGAUUUGGAUGAUAAAAGCUGGGAAAGGAUAAAUCGGUUGGCUUGCAGUUCUAUCCGACUUUGUCUUGUAAAGGAUCAGAAGUACGCCUUUUCAGAACAAAACUCUACAAAGGAAUUAUGGCAAGCACUGGAGGACAAGUUUAUGAAGAAGAGUAUAGAGAAUCGUCUUUACUUGAAGAAAAGGAUCUUCCGGUUUCAGCACAAGAAAGGUACUUCUAUGAAUGAGCAUCUGAAUGAUUUCAAUAAAAUGAUAGCUGAUUUGAAGAAUUUAGAUGUGGAAAUUGAUGAUGAAGAUAAAGCUCUACUAUUAUUAAAUUCACUGUCUGACACAUAUGAACAUCUUGUCACCACCUUACUGUAUGGUAAAGAAAAGAUUAAAUUCAUUGAUGUGUCCAAUGCUUUGGUGAACAAUGAGUAUCGGAAGAAGGACCAGAUUGUUCACAAGGAGUCAACAUCAGAAGCAUUGACAGUUAGAGGCAGAACAAACCCCAGAAGAUUUUGAGGGCGAGGGAGAUCUCGCUCAAAAUCCAGAGGAGAAUCAUCAAACAGACGAUAUCUUGCAAAAGAUGAGUGUGCCUUUUGUCACAAAAAAGGGCACUGGAAGAAAGAUUGUCCAAUCAAGGGCAACAAGGAAAAAGAUGAACCAACUAUGAACGUUGCACGAGAUGAGGAUGAACAAGACUCUGCAUUCAUGGUCUCAUCACCAGAAAACCAUUCUGGUGAAUGGAUUCUUGAUUCUGCAUGUUCCUAUCACAUGUGCCCUAACAAGCACUUAUUCUCGAGACUCGAGGAGUUCGAUGGAGGAGUUGUGUUGAUGGGUAAUGAUGAUGUUUGUGAGAUCAAAGGGAUUGGGACUAUCCAUCUGAAGAUGCAUAAUGGGGUAGUCAAGACACUAACAGAUGUACGAUAUGUACCUGAGUUGAAGAAAAAUCUCUUCUCACUUGGAGUUCUAGAAUCCAGUGGUUAUAAGAUUAUCAUGCAAGGUGGAGUUCUCAGAGCAAUCCGUGGUGCAUUAGUUGUCUUAAGAGGCACGAGGACAGGAAACUUAUAUUUCCUGGAUGGAUCUACAAUUACUGGUACAGCAGCUGUUUCCAAAAGUAUAGAAGAUGAUGAAGCAGAUAAUUCCAGACUUUGGCACAUGCGUUUAGGGCAUGCUGGUGAAAAGGCUUUGCAAGGAUUAGUCAAGCAAGGUCUAUUAAAAGGCGCCAAGACUGGGAAGCAUGGGUUCUGUGAGCAUUGUGUUCUUGGAAAACAGACAAGGGUCAAGUUUGGCACUGCAGUACACAACACAAAAGGGAUCCUAGAUUAUGUUCACACAGACGUAUGGGGACCUUCAAAGAAUGAAUCUCUUGGAGGUAAUCGUUGGUUUGUUACUUUUAUUGAUGAUUUUUCAAGACGAGUAUGGGUGUACAUGAUGAAACACAAGGAUGAGGUCCUUGGUAUCUUUCUGAAAUGGAAGAAAAUGGUGGAGACUCAAACUGGAAGGAGGGUUAAGACUCUUCGGUCAGAUAAUGGUGGUGAGUACACUUCAGAUCCUUUCUUUGAAGUUUGUCAGGAUGAAGGGAUCAAGCGACAUUUUACUGUUCGCAAAACACCACAACAAAAUGGAGUAGCGGAACGCAUGAACCGCACAUUGGUGGAGAAAGUCCGAUGUAUGCUAUCACAUUCGGGACUAAGCAAAGUGUUCUGGGGCGAGGCAUUAAGCUAUGCUCGUCAUAUUGUUAACCGGUUACCUUCAGCAGCAUUAAAUGGAAGAACCCCCUUAGAGGUAUGGUCAGGCUCUCCUGCAAAUGAUUAUGACUCUAUGCGUAUAUUUGGUUGCUCAGCAUAUUAUCAUGUUACUGAAUCCAAGUUAGAUCCUAGAGCCAAGAAAGCUAUAUUUUUGGGCUUUAGUGGAGGAGUAAAAGGCUACAGACUCUGGUGUUCUGAAUCAAAGAAAGUGAUCUUGAGUAGAGAUGUCACUUUUGAUGAGUCUGGCAUGUUACAGCAAGAGAAAUCACAGGAGAAGGAAAAACAGUCUGGUGAUGCACAACAGGUGGAGUUGGAGACUUCAGUCAUCCCUAUAAAGACUGUUCAGACAAUCUCUACUGAAGGAGAUUCAGAUGAAAGUUCAGAUGAAGAGGAUGCAACAACUCCAGCAACCACACAACAAGAAUCCAUUGCAACGAGUAAACCAAAAAGGGUUAUCAAGAAACCUGCUCGGUAUUGUAACAUGGUGGCUUAUGCACUUCCGGUGAUUGAUGAUGGAAUCCCCUACACCUACAAAGAAGCAGUACAGAGUGUAGAAAGUGCAAAAUGGAAAGAGGCAAUGGAUGAAGAGAUGAAAUCUCUCCACAAGAAUCAGACUUGGGAUUUGGUACAACUCCCUAAAGGAAAGAAGACAAUUGGUUGCAAGUGGGUAUAUGCAAAGAAGGAAGGUAAUCCUGGAAAAGACAACAUCCGUUUCAAAGCAAGAUUGGUAGCAAAAGGCUAUGCUCAGAAGGAAGGGAUAGAUUAUAAUGAGGUAUUCUCUCCAGUUGUUAAGCAUUCAUCAAUCCGUAUUCUGUUAGCCUUGGUUGCACAGUUUGACUUGGAGUUAGCCCAACUUGAUGUGAAAACUGCCUUCCUACAUGGAGAUUUGGAAGAGGAAAUUUACAUGUCUCAGCCAGAUGGUUUCAAAGUCACUGGAAAAGAGAAUUGGGCUUGUAAACUGAAGAAGUCAUUAUACGGAUUGAAACAAUCUCCUCGCCAGUGGUAUAAGCGAUUUGAUAAGUUCAUGGCAGAACAUGGAUACACACAGAGUCAGUUUGAUCACUGUGUAUAUUUUCACAAACUUCUUGAUGGUUCUUUCAUCUAUUUGCUCUUAUAUGUGGAUGAUAUGUUGAUCGCAUCGAAGAGCAAGGUGGAGAUUGAUAGACUGAAAGCUCAACUGAGAACUGAGUUUGAAAUGAAGGACCUUGGAGAAGCUAAGAAGAUUCUUGGCAUGGAGAUUCAGAGAGACAAAAGAAAAGGCACAGUCUGUUUGACACAAACCCAAUACUUGCAGAAAAUUCUACAGAGAUUUGGGGUAGAUGGUAAGACUAAGCCUGUAAGCACACCUUUAGCUCCUCAUUUUAAGCUAAGUGCUUCAAUGUCUCCACACACAGAGGAAGAGCGCAAACAUAUGGCUCAAAUUCCGUAUGCAAAUGCAGUUGGUGCAUUAAUGUAUGCAAUGGUUUGUACGAGACCAGAUAUUUCACAUGCUGUCAGUAUGGUGAGCAGGCAUAUGCAUGAUCCGGGAAAGGGUCACUGGCAGGCAGUUAAGUGGAUUCUACGGUACAUUCAUGGCACAACUGAUAUUGGUUUGAAGUUUGAGAGGGAUGAUAGACUCGGGCAAAAUUUAGUUGGUUAUGUGGACUCGGACUAUGCUGGUGACUUAGACAAGCGUCGUUCAACAACAGGUUAUGUGUUUACACUUGCUAAAGGGCCUGUAAGUUGGAGGUCAACAUUACAAUCAACAGUAGCUUUGUCAACAACUGAGGCAGAGUACAUGGCAGUAACGGAAGCUUUCAAAGAAGCUAUUUGGUUACAUGGGCUGAUUGAAGAUUUGGGAAUUGUUCAAGAGCACGUGGAUGUCCAUUGUGAUAGUCAAAGUGCUAUUUGUCUUGCAAAGAAUCAGGUUCAUCAUUCCCGCACCAAGCACAUCGAUGUUCGAUUUCAUUUUGUUCGAGAAAUUAUGGAUGAAGGGGAUAUUCUGCUACAGAAGAUUGGUACUGCAGAUAAUCCAGCUGACAUGCUCACAAAAUGUGUCUCAGGGAUCAAGUUCCAACAUUGUUUGGACUUGGUCAACAUCUCUCGGUGUUGAGCACCUUCAGGGUGCAGCGCCAUAUGGCGCAUCAGAGGCAGCAUUGAUUGAUCACGAGGAUUGCCUGGAAAAAUCUUGCCAAGGUGGAGAUUUGUAGCAAAUUGUCAACAUUUGCAAUUGUCAACAUGUUUUCUCAACCACUCUCAACUACCCUCUCCACUACCAACCACCCUCUCCUUUACAACCACUAUAUUUAUGCUUCCCCUUCUCAUGUAGACAGAAGUGAGGAACGAGAGAGGAAGAGUGCAGUGUGUGUGCAAGAAGUAAGUGUGCAGAGAAGUGUGGUGAGUGCAACUGUGAGAGAGAGUGCAAGUGCAGAUUUGAGAGAAAAGAGUGUAAGAGUGAAACACUGGUUUUUGUGGGUUGUAUUUGGUUGAGUUGAGUGUUUGUAUUAUUCCUCCAUUAAUAUACAAUCUGCUGCCUCCGUGGACGUACCCGGUUUUGGGGAACCACGUAAAUCUGCUUGUGUUUGUGUUUUAUUUGUGUUUGCUUUCGGUCCAGUAUGCACAACAGCAUUGGAGUCAGGACUCUUAAUUGCCAGUAUUAUCCAAGGAUGACUACAUACUGCAUGCUUCUAAAACAAAUGAAAAAUACCAAGUUAUUAAACAUAAGCUAUCUUCAACUACCAGAUCUCCUGGCUUUGAUUAAAAAAAAAAAAAAAGUAAUAAUCCCAACAAUAUGGAAAUCACUGUUGUCACUUCCCUUUCUAUUAUGAAAAUUUAAUGGCAAUUAAACUAUCUCCUUCCUUGUUAGAGAGGGCUCUGGCAUUGCUUCCCAUCUGGCACACUGUAACUUGCAGAUCCGUUUGGCUUUUGAGCUGUGGACUCCCCAUCACUUCAACUGAUUUGUUGUUUGUUUGACCACAAGAUGUUGAUUGUCUAGGGAAAUUCCAAGGACGCAUUGGGGUCAGAACUUUUAAUUGCCAGUAUUAUCCAAGGAUGAUUACAUACUGCAUGCUUCUAAGACAAAUAAAGAAUGUAUCAGUUCAUUUAAUUUAUUAGUUCUAAGUCAUUAAACAUAUUGCUANNNNNNNNNNNNNNNNNNNNNNNNNNNNNNNNNNNNNNNNNNNNNNNNNNNNNNNNNNNNNNNNNNNNNNNNNNNNNNNNNNNNNNNNNNNNNNNNNNNNUACAUUAACUCUCGUAAUACUUGACUUAUCUGUCGGUAAAUUGAUUAAUUUUUCAAUUUUGAUGCCUGCAUAAUGUAUCAGUUUAAAAUACAGCAUUAGUAUUGUUGCUGACAAGGGUCUGAAAAAGCCAAACGGAUUACUGUUUCACAAGAUACUAACAUUAAUAAAUUGCAAAACAGUAUCGCCAAACGGAUUGGUUUAGAUCUUUCUAAUGAAGAUGAGGAGCUGUAUAGAGCUUCCAAAUUGUCAAAAGAAUUAACGAAGAAACAGAAAUGGGUUUUGAUUUUAGACGAUUUGUGGAAGGCUAUUGAGCUACACAAGGUGGGAGUCCCUAUCCAAGCUGUUAAGGGAUGCCAGCUGAUAGUUACAACACGAUUAGAAAAUGUUUGUCAGCAGAUGGGUAAACAACACAUAAUCAAAGUGGAGCCUAUUUCGAAGGAAGAAGCUUGGGCUUUGUUUAUUGAGAGACUUGGACACGACACAGCACUUUCUCCGGAAGUGGAACAAAUUGCAAAAUUUGUGGCAAGGGAAUGUGAUCGUUUGCCACUAGGAAUUAUAACCAUGGCUGCAACCAUGAGGGGAGUGGUUGACGUACGUGAGUGGAGGAAUGCAUUGGAGGAAUUGAAAGAAUCAAAAGUUAGAAAAGAUGAUAUGGAGCCUGAGGUAUUCCACGUAUUGAGAUUUAGUUAUAACCAUCUAAGUGAUUCAGCACUACAACAAAGUUUCUUGUACUGUGCAUUAUUCCCAAAGGACUUCAAGAUCCGUAGAGAGGAUUUGAUAGCUUAUUUGAUUGAUGAGGGAGUGAUAAAAGGGCUAAAGAGUAGGGAGGCAGAAUUUAACAAAGGCCACUCGAUCCUUAAUAAACUUGAAAGAGUCUGCCUAUUGGAAAGUGCUGAGGAAGGGUAUGUCAAGAUGCAUGACUUGAUUAGGGACAUGGCCAUCCAAAUACUACAAGAGAACUCUCAAGGCAUGGUCAAAGCAGGUGCACAGUUAAGAGAAUUGCCGGGAGAAGAGGAGUGGACAGAGCAUCUUAUGAGAGUUUCACUGAUGCAUAACGAGAUUAAAGAAAUUCCUUCCAGCCAUUCACCAAGGUGUCCCUAUCUUUCAACUCUAUUGCUAUGCAGAAACUCAGAGAUGCAAUUUAUUGCAGAUUCAUUUUUUGAGCAGUUGCGUGGACUCAAGGUUCUUGAUCUGUCUCGUACAAAUAUCACAAAACUGCCUGAUUCUGUCUCUGAAUUGGUGAGUCUCACUGCAUUACUGCUCAUUGGUUGUAACAUGUUAAGGCAUGUACCGUCAUUAGAAAAGCUCAGGGCACUGAAGAGGUUAGAUCUCUCUGGUACUUGGGCACUUGAAAAGAUUCCUCAAGGCAUGGAAUGUCUAUGCAACCUGAGGUAUCUGAGAAUGAAUGGAUGUGGUGAAAAGGAGUUUCCUAGGGGGUUGUUACCUAAGCUCUCUCACCUGCAAGUCUUUUUAUUGGAGGAGUGGAUUCCUCCUACUACCAAAGAUAAUAGAAAAGGACUGCCUGCUCUGAUAACAGUUAAAGGAAAGGAAGUGGCAUGCUUGAGCAAGUUGGAAAGUUUGGCAUGCCAUUUUGAAUAUUACUCAGACUACGUGGAGUAUGUCAAAUCUCGGGAU
rnacentral:lncRNA from 1 species